UUCCACUGUAAUGAUAUUUUGCAUUGGCAGCUCAUGCCUCAGUGCUCUGGGUGUGUUUAUAGUCCUGUGAACGAUUUUAACACACAAGAUCUGUCCAGUUGAAAACAGAAGACAAUAUGAUUCUCUUCAUCUGGGCAUUUUUCUGCAUCCAAGGCUCUUUGGGGCAGGUCAUUGUGACUCAACCUGAGUUUAAAUCAGUUCAGCUUGGUCAAACAGUCUCUAUUGAUUGUAAGGUCAACACUGUAGUUUAUAGGCUUCCAACUGGUUCAGUAUCCAAAGAUUUCUACAUCUCCUGGUACAUUCAGAGGCCAGAGGAACCCCCUAAACUCCUUAUAUAUUUCACAACAAUGAAGCCCUCGAGUGCUCCAUCUAGAAUGAGCGGUGGAGGCAGUUUUCACUCUGGAGGAAAUGGUCUUGAUUUCACUCUGACCAUCAGUGAUGCCCAGCUUGAAGAUGCGGGAGAUUAUUACUGUCAGAGUUACCAUGCGAUCAGUGGUAAAGACGUGUUCACACAGUGAAAAAAUGCUGCACAAAAACCUACCUUGGUUAAACCGCAUGAGAAUCCUCUCUGCAUCCGAGACCUACAGGUCUGAAAUGAGAACAAAAACAGGGGUAACUUUAUAUGUAUUUUAGUGUUCCCUAUCAGUAGAAAUAAUAAUUGAAUUUAUUGCUGUUCCUGUUACAUAUCUAAUUUUUGUCAAACAAUUCCGUUGUUUAUGAUAUUUUUCAUAUAGUACAAUGCUUCAUAUUCAUAUAGAAAAAUCAAAUUUAAUCAAUACCCUAAUGUGUGAGUUGUUCAUUAUGCAAAGAUAAAACUCCAUUGUUUUACACAAAGUAGAGAAGCAGAAAUACCUAUUCAUUAGUUAUGGAAAAACUCUUUUAAUUUAGUUGUCUAACUCUACAAUUACAUUCAGAGAUUCUCACAUUAUAUGUAGCCUACAAGUACAUUUAUGACAUAAAUAGUAAAUACAUAUUUUAUAAAGUUUGAAAUUUAUAUAGCCUAUGGGACUAUAGGAACAUGAAAUUGUCCAGCCAUGACUUCUUGUUUCACAGGAAUAUAAAUGAGGAAACGCAAAGGUCAAAUUCUCUUAAUCAUCCAUCACAAUGAGUAAAAACCAAAGAGUUCUGAUGUGAAGCAAAAGAUUGUUGGGCUUCACAAAAUAGAAAGAGGCUGUAAGAAAAUAGCUAAAGCAUCAAAAAGUUCGAUUUCAUAUAUAAACUGUUGUUUCAAUGUUAUUAUAUGUUGAUAAAAUAAAGUCAUGUAAAAUGCAAAAACAGGGCUCGUCCGGGAUUUGAACCCGGGACCUCUCGCACCCUAA